rnacentral:rRNA from 1 species
ACAAUGAAGAGUUUGAUCCUGGCUCAGGAUGAACGCUAGCUACAGGCUUAACACAUGCAAGUCGAGGGGCAUCAGGAAGAAAGCUUGCUUUCUUUGCUGGCGACCGGCGCACGGGUGAGUAACACGUAUCCAACCUGCCCUUUACUCGGGGAUAGCCUUUCGAAAGAAAGAUUAAUACCCGAUAGUAUAAUGAUUCCGCAUGGUUUCAUUAUUAAAGGAUUCCGGUAAAGGAUGGGGAUGCGUUCCAUUAGGUUGUUGGUGAGGUAACGGCUCACCAAGCCUUCGAUGGAUAGGGGUUCUGAGAGGAAGGUCC